UAGGGAAUAUUGGGCAAUGGGCGAAAGCCUGACCCAGCCAUGCCGCGUGCAGGACGAAGGCCCUCUGGGUUGUAAACUGCUUUUUUGAGGGAAGAAAAGACUCGUUGCGACGAGAGUUGACGGUACCUUAAGAAUAAGCCACGGCUAACUACGUGCCAGCAGCCGCGGUAAUACGUAGGUGGCGAGCGUUAUCCGGAUUUAUUGGGUUUAAAGGGUGCGUAGGCGGGAGAUUAAGUCGAUGGUGAAAGGUAGCAGCUCAACUGUUUUACAUGCUGUCGAUACUGAUUUUCUUGAGUUAUUGGAAGGCAGAUAGAAUUUCUGGUGUAGCGGUGAAAUGCUUAGAUACCAGAAGGAAUACCGAUUGCGAAGGCAGUCUGCUGCAAAUAUACUGACGCUGAGG
rnacentral:rRNA from 1 species